rnacentral:rRNA from 1 species
AUACGUAGGUGGCAAGCGUUGUCCGGAAUUAUUGGGCGUAAAGCGCGCGCAGGUGGUUCCUUAAGUCUGAUGUGAAAGCCCCCGGCUCGACCGGGGAGGGUCAUUGGAAACUGGGGAACUUGAGUGCAGAAGAGGAUAGUGGAAUUCCAAGUGUAGCGGUGAAAUGCGUAGAGAUUUGGAGGAAUACCAGUGGCGAAGGCGACUGUCUGGUCUGUAACUGACACUGAGGCGCGAAAGCGUGGGGAGCAAACAGGAUUAGAUACCCUGGUAGUCCACGCCGUAAACGAUGAGUGCUAAGUGUUAGGGGGUUUCCGCCCCUUAGUGCUGCAGCUAACGCAUUAAGCACUCCGCCUGGGGAGUACGGUCGCAAGACUGAAACUCAAAUGAAUUGGCGGGG